CUCCAACCAGUGGCCCCACACAGCUGAGCCAUAGUUGGUGAUGACAUCACGGAUGCUGCCAUGGAUGCGGCAGCUCACAGACUUGCAGUGCCCACUUGUGACCAGGUUCCACAACUGUACAGACCCUGUACUACUCAACUGAUGUAUCAGGGAUGGGGAUGCUGUCAGCAGAAGUUAACAAUUGUCCCCAACAUAUGGGCUGCUGUGGGGCGAACAAGCACUGCCUUCUCCUUGCAGAGCAAGCAGCACAAAGGAAUCAACACUGCAUUCAAAAUGCCUAUUACGGUGCUACUGAGAACUGCAAUGUUUCAUAGCUCUGGAUUGCAACAGGCAAAAACGGUAAAAUGGUCAUGCUGGAGUUCAUAGCGUGCUGCAUACUUUCUCUGGAAGUGUGGUUUAGAAGAUUAUCUUAAAAAUUGCACAUAAGGCAAAUGAACAGUAGACAUACCAAUAAAUUUUAAGUCUAAUAA